UUUUUUAAGAGUUUGAUCCUGGCUCAGGAUGAAUGCUAGCAGUGCGCCUGAGAUAUGCAAGUCGAGCGUUGCCUCAUCGAAGUCGCAAGACCGAGGUGGGGAAGCGGCGGACGGCUGAGUAACACG
rnacentral:rRNA from 1 species